GAAGGAGGGGCUAAAUGCGCGGGACUCAAGAUCCUGUGCCUUAGGGCUUCGUGGGUUCAAAUCCCACCCCCUGCA
rnacentral:tRNA from 1 species